AACGCGAAGAACCUUACCUACUCUUGACAUCCUGCGAAUCUGAGUGAGAGCUUGGAGUGCCGAAAGGAACGCAGAGACAGGUGCUGCAUGGCUGUCGUCAGCUCGUGUUGUGAGAUGUUGGGUUAAGUCCCGUAACGAGCGCAACCCUUGCCCUUAGUUGCUAACGAGUUAAGUCGAGCACUCUAAGGGGACUGCUGGUGAUGAACCGGAGGAAGGCGGGGACGACGUCAAGUCAUCAUGGCCUUUAUGAGUAGGGCUACACACGUGCUACAAUGGUGCGUACAGAGGGAAGCCAACCCGCGAGGGGGAGCCAAUCUCUUAAAGCGUAUCGUAGUCCAGAUUGGAGUCUGCAACUCGACUCCAUGAAGUUGGAAUCGCUAGUAAUCGCGGAUCAGCAUUGCCGCGGUGAAUACGUUCCCGGGCCUUGUACACACCGCACGA
rnacentral:rRNA from 1 species